GUGAUGUAAUGCACCUCGUCCGAGAGAUGGGGAACUCAUGGCGUGCUGA
rnacentral:snoRNA from 1 species